rnacentral:tRNA from 4 species
GGGAGUGUAGCCUAACGGACAAGGCCUCAGUCUUCUAAACUGAUCGAUGUAGGUUCAAAUCCUACCACUCCUG